GAUGAAAGUGAAAUGACCAAACAGGGCAUACAAGAAGCUCUCAGCCGUUGGAUUGUGGGAGAAUAAAAAGAAAGCCUCAGUGGAGGCACAACUCAAGAUAAUUGAGGAAAACUUGAAAAGAAAGAAAGCAGAAUAUGCAGAAAAGAUGAAGAAUAAGAUAGCUGAUAUUCAUAGGUCAGCAGAAGAGAAAAGGACAAUGGUUGAAGCUCAAAAGAGGGAAGAGUUUAUCGAGUUAGAGGAAACAGCUGCAAAGUUUCGUAGUAGUGGUUGUACACCAGCCAAAUUCUUUGCAUGUUUUAAAGCAUAAGUUUUCUUUUUUUUUUCUCUAUUUAGCUAACUACAAAAAGAUCAUAACAUUAUUGGUGUGGUUAUUACUUGUUAAUAUUCAUUUAAAGAUUUGCUU